UGCGCAGGCGGACCUAUUAGUCAGUGGUGAAAUCCCGGGGCUCAACUCCGGAACUGCCAUUGAUACUGUAGGUCUUGAGUUUGGUUGAAGUGGGCGGAAUGUAGCAUGUAGCGGUGAAAUGCAUAGCUAUGCUACAGAACACCGAUCGCGAAGGCAGCUCACUAAACCAAAACUGACGCUCAGGCACGAAAGCGUGCGUAGCGAACAGGAUUAGAUACCCUGGUAGUCC
rnacentral:rRNA from 1 species